rnacentral:rRNA from 1 species
AUUGAACGCUGGCGGCAUGCCUUACACAUGCAAGUCGAACGGUAGAGGGGCAACCCUCGAGAGUGGCGAACGGGUGAGUAAUGCAUCGGAACGUACCCAGUUGUGGGGGAUAGCUCGGCGAAAGCCGGAUUAAUACCGCAUACGCACUGAGGUGGAAAGCGGGGGACUCGCAAGGGCCUCGCGCAGUUGGAGCGGCCGAUGUCAGAUUAGCUAGUUGGUGGGGUAAAGGCCUACCAAGGCGACGAUCUGUAGCUGGUCUGAGAGGAUGACCAGCCACACUGGGACUGAGACACGGCCCAGACUCCUACGGGAGGCAGCAGUGGGGAAUUUUGGACAAUGGGCGCAAGCCUGAUCCAGCCAUGCCGCGUGCAGGAAGAAGGCC